rnacentral:rRNA from 1 species
UACGAAGGGGGGCUAGCGUUGCUCGGAAUCACUGGGCGUAAAGGGUGCGUAGGCGGGUCUUUUAAGUCAGGGGGUGAAAUCCUGGAGCUCAACUCCAGAACUGCCUUUGAUACUGAAGAUCUUGAGUUCGGGAGAGGUGAGUGGAACUGCGAGUGUAGAGGUGAAAUUCGUAGAUAUUCGCAAGAACACCAGUGGCGAAGGCGGCUCACUGGCCCGAUACUGACGCUGAUGCACGAAAGCGUGGGGAGCAAACAGG